UACGGAGGGGGCGAGCGUUGUUCGGAAUCACUGGGUGUAAAGGGUGCGUAGGCGGUCCGUUAAGUCUGAUGUGAAAUCCCUGGGCUCAACUCAGGAACUGCAUUGGAAACUGGCGGACUGGAGUACCGGAGAGGGAAGCGGAAUUCCUGGUGUAGCGGUGAAAUGCGUAGAUACCAGGAGGAACACCGGUGGCGAAGGCGGCUUCCUGGCCGAGUACUGACGCUGAGGCACGAAAGCGUGGGGAGCGAACGGG
rnacentral:rRNA from 1 species